AUUGAACGCUGGCGGCAGGCCUAACACAUGCAAGUCGAGCGCGUGGCGGACGGGUGAGUAAUGUCUGGGAAACUGCCCGAUGGCGGGGGAUAACUACUGGAAACGGUAGCUAAUACCGCAUACCAUCAGAUGUGCCCAGAUGGGAUUAGCGAGUAGGUGGGGUAAUGGCUCACCUAGGCGACGAUCCCUAGCUGGUCUGAGAGGAUGACCAGCCACACUGGAACUGAUACACGGUCCAGACUCCUACGGGAGGCAGCAGUGGGGAAGAUUGCACAAUGGGCGCAAGCCUGAUGCAGCCAUGCCGCGUGUAUGAAGAAGGCCUUCGGGUUGGAAAGUACUUUCAGCGAGGAGGCGUUACUCGCAGAAGAAGCACCGGCUAACUCCGUGCCAGCAGCCGCGGUAAUAC
rnacentral:rRNA from 1 species